UGUGUGUGUGUGAGAUGGAUGGCUUAUUCUUUUGGUAAUCGUCCCUCAGUGAGGAUGUGAUCUGAAUUAAAGUGAAGCAGAAGCAUGAGUUAGAAAGUCAAAGCUCAUUAGGUUUGUAUGGUUCUUUUUAUCAUCACCAUCAAUAAUCAUUAUUAUAAAUCACCGCCACCAUGUUUUUUUUAAUAUUUUUUUUUUUACACCGCUGGCGUUUUUGUGUAUGUUUUCAAGUUUAAUAAUAAUAAAUUGCACACAAAGUGUGAAGCGGAGACUAAAUUAACUUGCGGUCCGCCACUUAAUAUGUUCCUGAGGAAUUAAAACCUAAAAAGCUUUGCGUUCGGUACACAUGGGCACUGAACCAAAAGCCCACACUUUUCCACACCAAAAUUCUGCUGUGUGUCUGCUGUUCACUUUUAGAUCAGAUAUGUGUGUCUGGGCUCAAAACUACACUCCAUGAGUUCACGUGUGGAUCAAAAUACAUUUAUGAGAAACUUCACUGCUGAGAUUCUUUUUACAAUCACAAAUCAAGGUUUCUUGUGUAACAGAGUGUCAACGUUUUAAAUGUAUUAUAGGUAUUUUAAUAUAUUAAAUUGCAUUUGAAUACAUAUUAAUAUGGGUAUGUGGUGAAAGAGCGCCCACUGCUCCUAGGACAGUAGAGUUACCUGUAAUAAGGUAGUAGAUCUUGUACGGCCUUUUAAAUGUGUAUUUUCUCAUCUGUUCUCUUCCCCUGCUAUGCCACUCCUCUGCACCAGGGGGCGUGUGUCCCUUAGAGUCAGACACUAAACACUGUUUAACUACUAGACACUUGCAGAACCAGAAGAGGAGGAGAUCAUCACCCAGAGCAUCUCUCUCAGUACAUUACUAACAAAUCAAACGUUCCUCGUUAUUUUAAAGCAUAAAACUUCACUGAGGAAUGUUCCAGAUCAAUGUAAACAUGUAUACAGUAUCUAUGUGGAUUCUGGAAUCUGUAUAAGGUGAAACUCCAGCCAUUUAUAUACUCAUUGAAGAUUACAUUUCAUUCUGAUUCACUGAUUUGUGUUUAAUUAUUGAAAUAUUUAUAAUAUAUAUAAAUAUGUGAGCUGCUCUGAAACAAUCGAAUGAAUUUGAGAGUUGACGCAUAUAAUCGGUUACACAAGAAACCUUGAUUUGUGAUCGUAAAAAAAGAAUCAGAAUCGCUGAAUCUCAGUUUCUCAUGGCUGCAUGGAAUCACUGAUUGUAGUUCGACCCACCCCCACCCCCCAGGCAGCACUGAGUCUGACCUGAAUCUUAAUCACAAUGGUGUGUUCACUACUGCCGAUCAGAACAUCAUGAUCAGUAGAACCCUGGACAUAAACGGUGAGAGAAGACUGGAGAAAUGUGAGAGAGAUGUAAAGCGUUUGAGACGUCCAGCGCUCCAGCAGCCGAGAUCUUCACAUCCUGCUUCUGAUUCACUUACUUCUGAAGAAGGGGCCGAAACGGGGAACAGCUCCAGCUGCCAUACAGAUGCUGUAAACAUGGCCCUCUACUUCAUCCUCCAACAUCUAGACUCCCCAGGAUCCUACACCAGGAUACUGUUUGUAGGUUUUAGCUCUGACUUCCACAUUGUCCCAACGCUACUCAGAGGCUCUUCCAGCUGAAUGUGCCUGAUUCCAUGUGCAGUUGGAUCGUGGACUUUCUGACAGACGGACGGCAGUUCGUGAGGAUGGGAAAGCGUGUCUCUGAUUGCCGGAAUAUCAACACUGGAUCCCCACAAGGCUUUUCUCCUCUGAUUUUCUCACUGUACACCAAUGGCUGCUCAUCUGGUCACUAAUGUGAAAUUUGCUUAUGAUUCCACCCUCUUCAGCUUCAUCUUUGAUGGGAACGAGUCGGCUUACAGAAAUUAGAUGACCCUCUCAUCCUGGAAACAAACUACAGACAGUCACUUUUACAUAAAAAAACAAUUUUUCAUGCAAAUUCAUAUUUCUGUAUACAAUAUUUAGUUCAUUCUAGAUUGUGUACAUACUUCAUGUCUGUAUAUCUGUUUGGACAUCACUUUCACUUACAUUCUAAAUUGUACUACUUCUCAUGCAAAGCCACUACUUUCUGUAGAUAAUAUUUAUUGAAUUCAUUAUAGUUUAUUUAAAAACUGUGUACACAUUUUGUGUGUGUGUGUUUGUACCUGACACCAAGACAAAUUCCUAGUACUGUAAAGUGCUCUUCGCUGAACUCUGCUGUACCUGGCAAUAAAACCUUUUCUGCUCCUGA